rnacentral:lncRNA from 1 species
CUCCCUCUGGAUGCAGUCCAGACGAGGAGUCAGCCCACCAGGCCGGGCUUGGUGACGGUCCUGUGUACCAUUCAGGUGUGUGGCUGCUUUCCGACCCUUAGAUGAGGUCACCAUUGCCGCCCCAUUGGUCACCUCCCCUGACCCAGGCCUUUGGUACCGUGCCCAGCUGACGCAUUUGAGAAGGUUGGUGACCAGGAUCUGUGGUGUCUGAUCUAGCACCGAGUCACCAAAGUCGCUGGGGGAGAAGCAGGCCAUUAGGAUAGAAGGAAUGCGGAAUUCAGACAGACAGACCUGCGUGAGAAUCCCACUUCUGCUGUGAGUGGGUGAUCUGUGCGAUCUCAGGAAAUUGACCUAAAUGAUCUGAGCCUUUGUAUCUGUCUCAGUAAAAUGAGGGAGAGACGUUGUAUGAAGCUAUUUUUUAAUAACAAAAGAUUAUUUUGUAAAGUACUUGGUUCCUAAAGGAUAUUCAAAACUAUUGAGCAUUAAUAGUAUGAAAAAAGUCCAGUUUCCAAUCCAAUAAAUCAGAUUAUUAAAAAUAUAGCAAAGUGAUUUUACCAUUACUGAAGAAGAAAGUCAUCCUUGUGUUGCUUUAGAUAUUAUAACUUUAAAUUAAAAAAAAGAAAGAAAGAAAAGAAUUGGUUCACGGCACAAGCAUCAGAAUAAAAAAGAAAAAUCACUAGCUGUUUGGCCUUCCACACAUUUCCUUAUUUCUCUUAGCCUCGGUUGCCUUAUCUCUGUUACAGGCAUAAUGAGACCCGUGUUGCCAGGGUGUGGAUGUGAGAAAUGAAAUGAGAGAUGAGGGUUGGAAAAGGCCACACGCAGCCAAGGACAGAGCUGGUUUCAGUCCUUCUGUGGCGCAUCGGCAAGAGGUGAGGGAUGCGGUCUUGCCCCCUGGUCCUUCUUCAGAAAUUCACCUUGUUCACUGUCUACACCCAAGCGCACAGAAAACAGCCCCUGUGUCUGGGCUCCCUUUUCCUUGGGCUGUGCUCUGUGAUGGGACUUUACAAACACAACCCCAAAUCCAGAGGAGACAAACCUCUCUCCCCCUUUUCCUCCAUGACCUGGUUUCCCAAAAUGCAGGGCCAGCCCCACAGAUGCCGGCUCAGGAUUCACUUUCUCAUCAGGCCAAGGACUUUUCAGAGUUGCUGUGUUUUCCAUAUC